rnacentral:rRNA from 1 species
GAUGAACGCUAGCGGCAGGCCUAAUACAUGCAAGUCGAACGGUAAGUGGUGUAGCAAUACAUUACCUAGAGUGACGUACGGGUGCGUAACACGUAUGCAACCUACCUAUAACAGGAGGAUAGCUCGGGGGAAACUCGAAUUAACCCUCCAUAAGAAUGUGAAGUGGCAUCACUUAGCAUUUAAAACUCCGGUGGUUAUAGAUGGGCAUGCGUCUGAUUAGUUAGUUGGC